rnacentral:siRNA from 1 species
AAAGGUGACAUGACUCUUGUUUU